rnacentral:rRNA from 1 species
GGAAUCCGCUAAGGAGUGUGUAACAACUCACCUGCCGAAUGAAUUAGCCCUGAAAAUGGAUGGCGCUGAAGCGGGUAGCCGACACCACGCCGUCUGGACAAAGUGGUCUUUCAGAUGAGUAGGAGGGCGUGGCGGUUGUAUCGAAGCGUGGAUGCGAAUCUGCGUGGAACAGCCGCUAGUGCAGAUCUUGGUGGUAGUAGCAAAUAUUCAAGCGAGAUCCUUGAAGGGCGAAGCGGGGAAGGGUUCCACGCGAACAUUGAUUGGGCGUGGGUGAGUCGUUCCUAAGCCGCGUGGCAAUAGCUAAUUACCGGCGAAAGGGAAGCAGGUUGACAUUCCUGCACACGGAUGUGGAGACGGCGACGAUACAUGAGGCGAUCACGCUGGCGGUGGCGCUGGGCAGAGUUGUCUUUUCUGUUUGACCAUUGAAUACUUGCUGUGUGGAAUCCGCUUGUCGGGAGAAACACGCAGGUACGGGCAGAGCGCCGGGGCUUUUCCGGCGUCCAGCUCGCCACCGACGGCCCUUGAAAAAUUGCCUGCUGAACAACACUUGUGUUGUGAGAUCCACGCCGUGGCGUACCGAUAACCGCAUCAGGUCCCCAAGGUGAACAGCCUCUGCUCAGUAUGAACAAUGCAGGUAAGGGAAGUCGGCA